GAUGAACGCUGGCGGCGUGCCUAAUACAUGCAAGUCGAGCGAACAGACGAGAGUGCUUGCACUCUCUGACGUUAGCGGCGGACGGGUGAGUAACACGUGGGUAACCUACCUAUAAGACUGGGAUAACUUCGGGAAACCGGAGCUAAUACCGGAUAAUAUUUAGCUUCGCAUGAAGCAAUAGUGAAAGACGGUUCUGCUGUCACUUAUAGAUGGACCCGCGGUGUAUUAGCUAGUUGGUGAGGUAACGGCUCACCAAGGCAACGAUACAUAGCCGACCUGAGAGGGUGAUCGGCCACACUGGGACUUGGACCCGGCCCAGACUCCGACGGGAGGCAGCAGUAGGGAAUCUUCCGCAAUGGACGAAAGUCUGACGGCGCAAUGCCGCGUGAGUGAAGAAGGUUUUCGGAUCGUAAAACUCUGUUGUAAGGGAAGAACAAGUACGUUAGUAACUGAACGUACCUUGACGGUACCUUACCAGAAAGCCACGGCUAACUACGUG
rnacentral:rRNA from 1 species